AUUGAACGCUGGCGGUAUGCUUUACACAUGCAAGUCGAACGGUAACAGGUUAAGCUGACGAGUGGCGAACGGGUGAGUAAUGCAUCGGAACGUGCCCGGUCGUGGGGGAUAACACUUCGAAAGAAGUGCUAAUACCGCAUACGAUCUGAGGAUGAAAGCGGGGGACCGUAAGGCCUCGCGCGAUCGGAGCGGCCGAUGUCAGAUUAGGUAGUUGGUGGGGUAAAGGCCCACCAAGCCGACGAUCUGUAGCUGGUCUGAGAGGACAACCAGCCACACUGGGACUGAGACACGGCCCAGACUCCUACGGGAGGCAGCAGUGGGGAAUGUUGGACAAUGGGCGCAAGCCUGAUCCAGCAAUGCCGCGUGCAGGAAGAAGGCCUUCGGGUUGUAAACUGCUUUUGUACGGAGCGAAAAGGCUCUCUCUAAUACAGGGGGCUGAUGACGGUACCGUAAGGAUAAGCACCGGCUAACUACGUGCCAGCCGCCGCGGUAA
rnacentral:rRNA from 1 species